CAGUCGCCGCGGUAAUACGUAGGUCCCGAGCGUUGUCCGGAUUUAUUGGGCGUAAAGCGAGCGCAGGCGGUUAGAUAAGUCUGCAGUUAAAGGCUGUGGCUUAACCAUAGUACGCUUUGGAAACUGUUUAACUUGAGUGCAAGAGGGGAGAGUGGAAUUCCAUGUGUAGCGGCGAAAUGCGUAGAUAUAUGGAGGAACACCGGUGGCGAAAGCGGCUCUCUGGCUUGUAACUGACGCUGAGGCUCGAAAGCGUGGGGAACAAACAGGAUUAGAUACCCCAGUAGUCCCUGUCUCUUAUACC
rnacentral:rRNA from 1 species